GACGAACCGUGCGAACGUUGUUCGGAUUCACUGGGCUUAAAGGGCGCGUAGGCGGACUCGCAAGUCUGUGGUGAAAGCCCCCAGCUCAACUGGGGAAGUGCCGUGGAUACUGUGAGUCUGGAGGAGGGUAGGGGCAUCUGGAACGCUGGGUGGAGCGGUGAAAUGCGUUGAUAUCCAGCGGAACUCCGGUGGCGAAGGCGAGGUGCUGGACCCUUCUGACGCUGAGGCGCGAAAGCCAGGGGAGCAAACGGG
rnacentral:rRNA from 1 species